rnacentral:tRNA from 3 species
GGGCGGUUAGCUCAGCUGGUUAGAGCGCCGCAUUUACACUGCGGAGGCCGAGGGUUCGAGUCCUUCACCGCCCA